UUUAAUAUGGCCCUUGCAUGAAACGAUUUGUACAUCGGAUGUGAUUCCUUUCCGAAAAAUCUGUUGAUUCGAGCUGAGAGUAGUAGGUUGAUUGGCGACAGAAUUUUUUAAUUUUUAAUUUCUUCUAUUUUAUUUUAUGUUUUGACGAACAAACACUCUGUGCGGGAGGAAGCCUGGAGCAUCCAAGAAAACAACAGCACCGAAGGACCAAAAAAAAAAAAAAAAAAAACUUCGUGCCAAAAAGUCAGCCACGAGAACGGCUAGGGCUGAGUAUUAACCCUAAUUCCUAGUUAAUUGACUAGUUACAAGUAUCUGAGCCACCCAGAAAUCCAAAGGAGACAGCCCGCCCAUCUUCCUCCGCGUCGAUCGGAUCAGGACAGUUUUUCGGAACAGACUUGAUCUAAUAUGACAAUG
rnacentral:sRNA from 1 species